GUGCCAGCAGCCGCGGUAAUACGGAGGGUGCGAGCGUUAUCCGGAAUCAUUGGGUUUAAAGGGUCCGCAGGCGGUCAAUUAAGUCAGAGGUGAAAUCCCAUAGCUUAACUAUGGAACUGCCUUUGAUACUGGUUGACUUGAGUUAUACGGAAGUAGAUAGAAUAAGUAGUGUAGCGGUGAAAUGCAUAGAUAUUACUUAGAAUACCGAUUGCGAAGGCAGUCUACUACGUAUAUACUGACGCUCAUGGACGAAAGCGUGGGGAGCGAACAGGAUUAGAUACCCUGGUAGUCCACGCCGUAAACGAUGGACACUAGUUGUUGGAAUUAUUCAGUGACUAAGCGAAAGUGAUAAGUGUCCCACCUGGGGAGUACGAUCGCAAGAUUGAAACUCAAAGAAAUUGACGG
rnacentral:rRNA from 1 species